AUAUAUAUAUAUAUAUAUAUAUUUAAACACAUAUAUAACAUACAUACACAGACACACUCAACCUACCUCCUAACAGCUACAGACUACUUCUCAAAGUGGGUUGAAGCCUUUCCUUUAAAAACAAAGACAGCAGCUGAAGUUGGAAGACAUCUCUGUUCCCUUAUUUAUAGACAUGGCUGUCCCCAGAGAAUUCUCUCAGAUCAGGGAAGAGAAUUUGUAAAUGAACUUAACCACAGGCUUUGUGAAAUGUUGCUCAUCAAAAGAAGUGUGACAGCAGCUUAUAAUCCUCAAACUAACGGCCUGUAAGAAAAGACCAAUGACAACAUUAAACGAGCCCUCAAGAAAUUGGUUAAUGACCAACAGAAUGACUGGGAUGUCUAUCUGGAUGCCACCUUGUUUUCUUUACGAUCCAAGUAAUGAAGGUCUGGGCUGCCAAUAUCAGCGGUCAGGUAGAAGCAGUUGUAGGGCCAUAUCAGCUCUAUGACUCUUCUUUUUACUCACUGCAAGGGACUGAGUGGCUUUCUGAUGAAGUAAGUGA
ensembl:lncRNA